rnacentral:rRNA from 1 species
AACGAACGCUGGCGGCAUGCCUAACACAUGCAAGUCGAACGAAACCUUCGGGUCUAGUGGCGCACGGGUGCGUAACGCGUGGGAACCUGCCCUUAGGUUCGGAAUAACUCCCCGACAGGGGUGCUAAUACCGAAUCAUGUCUUCGGACCAAAGAUUUAUUGCCUUUGGAUGGGCCCGCGUUGGAUUAGCUAGUUGGUAGGGUAAAAGACUACCAAGGCGACGAUCCAUAGCUGGUCUGAGAGGAGGAUCAGCCACACUGGGACUAGGACACGGCCCAGAAUCCUACGGGAGGGAGGAGUGGGGGAUAUUGGAAAGUGGGGGGAAGGAUGAUGGAGCAAUGCUGGGAGAGUGAUGAAGGCAGUAGGGUUGUAAAGCGCUUUUACCCGGGAUGAUAAUGACAGUACCGGGAGAAUAAGCUCCGGCUAACUACGUG